rnacentral:rRNA from 1 species
AGUCAAUAGAUACCCUGGUAGUCCAUGCCGUAAACGAUGAUUGCUAGGUGUGGGGGGUCUGACCCCUUCCGUGCCGGAGUUAAACACAAUAAGCAAUCCACCUGGGGAGUACGGCCGCAAGGUUGAAACUCAAAGGAAUUGACGGGGGCCCGCACAAGCAGUGGAGUAUGUGGUUUAAAUUCGAAGCAACGCGAAGAACCUUACCAGGUCUUGACAUCCACCGAAUCCUGUAGAGAUACGGGAGUGCCCUUCGGGGAACGGUGAGACAGGUGGUGCAUGGUUGUCGUCAGCUCGUGUCGUGAGAUGUUGGGUUAAGUCCCGCAACGAGCGCAACCCUUGUGAAUAGUUGCUACGAAAGAGCACUCUAUUCAGACCGCCGUUGACAAAACGGAGGAAGGUGGGGAUGACGUCAAAUCAUCAUGCCCCUUAUGACCUGGGCUACACACGUACUACAAUGGUCGUCAACAGAGGGAAGCAAGACCGCGAGGUGGAGCGAACCCCUAAAAACGAUCUCAGUUCAGAUUGCAGGCUG